CAAGCGGGGAAGGAUGAGAAGCUUCGACUAAGGUUCGACUCGAGCGCCAGCGAGAGAGCGUUGCCGCAGGCAACGACCCGAAGGGCGAAGCGCGCAGCGCUAGUAAUCCUUCCCCCACCACCA
rnacentral:sRNA from 1 species